rnacentral:lncRNA from 1 species
AUGGUCCAGCUGAGGUUUUGCGUCCUAGGCAGCAUAGCCGGAUCGGUGCUCCGUGCAUCGGCUACUUGGACGUGCGUGGCAGGCAGAGCAGGCCGGAAAGGAGCAGGUUGGGAGUGUGGUGGGGCCCGCAGCUUCAGCAGUGCCGCGGUGGGAGACACCAUUCCCUCAGUGGAGGUAUUUGAAGGAGACAGAUUUACUACUAGAUGAUUCUUUGGUGUCUCUCUUUGGGAAUCGUCGGCUAAAAAGGUUCUCCAUGGUGAUAGACAAGGGCGUAGUAAAGGCACUGAACGUGGAGCCGGAUGGCACAGGCCUCACCUGCAGCCUGGCCCCCAACAUCCUCUCACAACUCUGAGGCCCUGACCAGAAUGUCCUCUGACUCUCCCAUCUCCUCCACCCAGCUCUGGGCCAAAGGCCCAGUACCUCCUUACCUGAGGGCCACUGGAAUGGAACCUUGACAAUAUUUCUGCAAUAAACAGUUUAAUUUGUG